rnacentral:misc_RNA from 1 species
CAAGCGAGUCAGUGACGACUGUUCACAUAACCAGUCACCCUUCUCCCACAACAUCGAGCGCAGAUUUCAUCGGUGUCCGUAAAUUUCUUCAACAUAAAGCGAUGUAUUUCAUCAAAAAGUGAAACGACAAGAGUCCUGAAAGUUGUGUUUUUGUGUGGAAGUAGAGAUUAACCCGUGCCUCUUGGGCUGUGUGUGUGGCUGCUACUCCCCGUGCUGGACGGUGUCUGAGGGCCGGCGGUGACUAUAGUGUGGUGCCGGAGAAUGUGUCGAGGAUGGAGCCUGGUGCUGGCGCUGCUGCUGCUGGUGUCUGCUGCCUCCGCCGCUCAAGACAAGGAAGAUGAAGCGGCGAGACAACGGCAGGAGAAUCUCGCCAAGUUGGCCAGGAUUAUGGAAAUGGAAGGAGCGUACGACCCGAUGCGUUCCAGGAUAGCACCGUUGGACAUCCCGUCAACAGGGAAGAGAAGCGGGCGUAGCCUAGACCCUAUGAGGUCUCGCGUGGCGCCCCGGACGUACGGCCAACAGAACGGUCCCUACGUCAUCACCGCCACCCGCCUCAACGAGAUCCGGUCAGACCUCAUGUACCCGUACUUCGACACCGACCAGAGCGGCGGCACCGGCGACCUCGAGGUCAACAUUAACACCCAGAACACGCAGGUUAAUAAGCAGCUCACCUUCCUCCUCCCAUUCUUCGGCUUCGGUCUCAACUACACUUGGGUAUCCCUGAACGGCUACCUGGGCUUCUCUGACGCUCCCUUCAACUGGAAGCACUACCCGCUCAGCUUCCCUGUACCCCAGUGGCCGGACCAGCCCGACCCGUCCUUCAUUGGACCCUUCUACUCCAAAUGUAACAUUGGAGAGCUUCGUCCCGGAGAUGACAAGAGCAGGAGGCCCGGCGUGUAUUGGAGGCUGGAGCGCGACCUACCGUCCCGCGAGGACCAGUUCGGGGUGGAGCUCCGGGAGCGCGUCAAGUGGGACGUCCGAGAGGGCAUCGUCGGGGCCGCCAUCUUCAAGCCCAAACACGUCAUCAUCGUCACCUGGAAGAACGUCACCUUCUCCGGCGGCUCCGUCAACACUGACGCCAAAUAUAUCACCAACACAUUCCAGUUGGUGGUGACGACGGACGAGAUCAGGACCUACGCCUUCUUCAACUACGAGUUCAUGAAGUGGACUUCACACACCGAGGCCGGAGGCUCUACUGACGAGGGCCAGGGCGGCGUCCCGGCUUACGUUGGGUUCAACGCCGGCAACGGGACCCGCUCCUACGAGUACACGCCCUACAGCCAGAAGCUCUACAUCCGCGACCUGGCCGUGGCGGGCAACGCUAAUGGCUUCCCAGGACGACACGUAUUCAGGAUUGACGAGAAGAUCUUAGCCGGCUGCUGCAGGAGGGAGGAAGAGUUGAAGCACUACCCGCUGACGUUCUCGCCGGAGCAAGGCAACAUGCUCGGGGGGACGCUGGUAAACAUGACGGGGCCCUGCUUCAAGACCGGAUACCGCCUCAGCUGCCAGUUUGACACUACCACCGUCGAGGGUCACGUCAUCAAUGAUAACCUCGCCACCUGCAUCAUGCCUCAGCUCCUGGUCUCCGGUUACAUCGAUUUGUCCAUUUCCAUCAACGGUGGACCCUUCUAUUGGAGGGGCAAGUUCUUUGUUGAAACGCCACUGACGGCACCUGAGGGCGUUUGGUUCAAGGACGACAGCUACGAGCAACACUCCCCACUCUCCCUGGAGAUGAACUGGUUGGCGGGCAACCUGACCAUGAACAGGGACGCCCCCGUCAUGAUAUCCCUGUGGGGCUACCGGGAGAUCAGCAUCAAGCCGGAGCUCAUCUACAUCGACGUGCUGGUGGACGGGGCGCCCAACAUAGGCUCCUACACCCUCACACCGGCCGACUACGCUAACCGGAACAACUUGGACUUACUGGACCUGGAGAUGGGACUCAUCAUGAUCAACCUCACCACCCCCGAGCCCCAGUACGGCCUCAAGGAGUCCACGACUGUGUGGUCGCGUCCCAUCCCUCUGGCCUGGUACUUCCAUUUCCAGUGGGAGCAGCUGUACGGCACCAACUGGCAGCUGGCCAUGUGUGACAGGUGGAUCGAGAAUGACCGCAACCUCAGGAACUUUGCUUAUGAGGUGGAGCGGUGCCCGUGCCUCCUGAAGCAGGCCGUCGCCGAUAAAGGAAGGUUCCUGCCCGACUUCUCCUGCGACCGAAAUGGCAACACUGAGUGCGAGUACCACUUUGGAGCCAUCCACUGUGUCCGCACCGCCCUCCCCAAUAAGGACGGGGCCGGCCAGCAGUGCUGUUAUGACCGCGACGGCUACUUGAUGAUGACCGCUGACAAGAUGUGGGGCGGCAACCCCCACAGAGCCCACAACCUGGGCAAGACGCCCUACGACGAGGCAAACAAGGUGCCGAGUCUUUCUCACUGGUACCACGACGUGAUACCUUUCUACACGUGCUGCAAGUGGCAGGGAGAGCAGUCCCCUGGCUGCAUCACCUACAGGUUUGAACGUCGCUGCUCCCAGGACUGUGUCGGCUACCAACCACCCACUGCUGCAACGGUAUUUGGAGACCCUCACCUCUACACCUUCGAUGACCUGCCCUACACGUUCAACGGGAAGGGGGAGUUCGUGUUGGUGCGUGUCGACUCGGUGCGCCACGUCCUCGACGUUCAGGGACGCUUUGAGCAGAUUACCCAGAACUAUCUGGGCGAAGCCAAAGGCUCCACGCUAACUGCUGUAGCAGCCCGCGACAACGUGUCGUCGGUGGUGGAGGUGCGGCGGCGACCGUCUGAUGCCAUGUGGCGCUACCAUCUGGACGUGAUCGUCAAUGGACAGAGGGUCUACUUCGACAGGUACUCGCAGAAGAUUCAACAAUUUCGAGAGUGCGUGGUGUACACCCCCAGCAACAUACUCAACCAGAGCCACGUGAUCAUAAUGUUCUCCUCUGGGGCCGGGGUGGAGGUGGUGGAGAACCUGGGCUUCCUGGCCGCCAGAAUAUACCUCCCGCUCUCCUUCGCGAACAUCACUCGGGGACUCUUCGGGAACUGGACGUUUGAUCCUGACGAUGACUUCACACUCCCGGACGGGUCGCAGGGCCCCACGGCCGACAUCAACAACCUGGAGCUCAUUCACAAGGAGUUCGGCAUGAAAUGGGUGCUGGACGACAAGGAGGACCCAAAUGUAGGCAAGAGUCUCUUCUACCACGAGAGCUCUCGCUCCAGCAACUACUACUUCGACCCAGACUUCGUACCCGAAUGGAAAGCAGUCCCUGAUUUGUCACCUAACGCGACAACACCCAUGCAGGAGAUCAAGCAGGUGUGUGGCGACUCCUACCAGUGCUACUACGACUACGUCGUCUCUCUCAGGAGGGACUUCGCCGUCAUGACCAAGUACUACCAGGACCAGUUCGUCAAUAUCAAGGGCGAGGGACUUAUGUCAUUGAUCUCAUGCGGAGCGCUGCCAACGCCUCCCAAUGGCCGCAAGUCAACCUUCAACUUCUUGAGCGGCGCUGAGGUGAAGUUCGACUGUGACCCCGGGUACGUGUUGCUGGGGGAGCAGCGUCGCUGGUGUUACUCCUCUGGGGACUGGAACUGGCCAGAACAUGGCGAGGCUACUUGUGUCACCGAGUCGGAGUACCUGUUGAUGCAGGGCGGGAUCACGGCGGGGACGGUGUUGUCGGUGCUGCUGCCCAUCCUCAUCGCUAUGCUCUGCUACGCCUCCUACGUCCGCAACAAGGACAAGGAAAUCUACCCCGAGAGCGACUUCAUCCGCAAUGGCAGCCGCAGGAUCAACAGCUUCUUCAAGAGAGCCAGAACCGACAGUUCGCCGGAGCCUUCACGACCCGUGAAGCACUUAGGGGGCGGCGUGGCCAGCAGCGGCGGCACCUCCACGCCGGACACGCACCACAGUGAUGACACCCAGGUCUAGAGUCCUUUACGACCCCCUCCUACCCCACCAUGCGGGCUCAGGGCUCUUCCACAAUUAGUAACAUUAAUAUAUAAAUGAAGGCCAAGGUCUAAUGGAGCAUCACGAUGUUUAUUUUAUAGUUAACACUGUCGCAGAGCACUUGGCGACACAGAUGUGUCCAGCCUUCCCUGACGGCCGCAGUGUGUGGGACUGUAUCACAGAGACCAAUAUCAGCUGUGUCAUUAGGAUACGUGACUGUCACAGAGACCAACAACAGCUGUGUCACUAGGAUACGUGACUGUCACAGAGACCAACAUCAGCUGUGUCACUAGGAUACGUGACUGUCAC